UUCGGCUCCCUAGUUAGUGGCGAACGGGUGAGUAACGCGUGAGCAACCUGCCUUUCAGAGGGGGACAACAGCUGGAAACGGCUGCUAAUACCGCAUAACAUGAUUUAGCCGCAUGACUGGAUCAUCAAAGAUUUAUCGCUGAAAGAUGGGCUCGCGUCUGAUUAGCUAGUUGGUGAGGUAACGGCCCACCAAGGCGACGAUCAGUAGCCGGACUGAGAGGUUGAACGGCCACAUUGGGACUGAGAUACGGCCCAGACUCC
rnacentral:rRNA from 1 species